GGAAAAGAAACUAACAAGGAUUCCCCUAGUAACUGCGAGUGAAGCGGGAAGAGCUCAAAUUUAAAAUCUGGCGGUCUUGGCCGUCCGAGUUGUAACCUGGAGGAGCGUUUUCCGUGUCGGACCGUGUACAAGUCUCCUGGAACGGAGCGUCAUAGAGGGUGAGAAUCCCGUCCAUGACACGGACGCCCGAUGCUUUGUGAUACGCUCCCGAAGAGUCGCGUUGUUUGGGAAUGCAGCGCAAAAUGGGUGGUAAAUUCCAUCUAAAGCUAAAUAUUGGCGAGAGACCGAUAGCGAACAAGUACCGUGAGGGAAAGAUGAAAAGCACUUUGGAAAGAGAGUUAAACAGUACGUGAAAUUGUUGAAAGGGAAACGCUUGAAGUCAGUCGCGUCCGGUGGAACUCAGCCUUGCUUCGGCCUGGUGUACUUUCCUCUGGACGGGUCAACAUCAAUUUCAACCGGUGGACAAGGGCGAGGGGAAUGUAGCGUUGUUUCGGCGACGUGUUAUAGCCCCUCGCCGUAUGCACCGGCCGGGAUUGAGGACCGCAGCACGCCCUUGUGGCCGGGGUUCGCCCACGUACCGUGCUUAGGAUGUUGGCAUAAUGGCUUUAAGCGACCCG
rnacentral:rRNA from 1 species